GAGCGCCCCGCAAGGGGAGCGGCAGACGGGAGAGUAACACGUGGGAACGUGCCCUUUGGUUCGGAACAACACAGGGAGACUUGUGCUAAUACCGGAUAAGUCCGUAAGGAGAAAGAUUUAUCGCCAAAGGAUCGGCCCGCGUCUGAUUAGCUUGUUGGUGAGGUAACGGCUCACCAAGGCGACGAUCAGUAGCUGGUCUGAGAGGAUGAUCAGCCACACUGGGACUGAGACACGGCCCAGACUCCUACGGGAGGCAGCAGUGGGGAAUAUUGGACAAUGGGCGCAAGCCUGAUCCAGCAAUGCCGCGUGAGUGAUGAAGGCCUUCGGGUUGUAAAGCUCUUUCGCCCGCGACGAUGAUGACGGUAGCGGGAGAAGAAGCCCCGGCUAACUUCGUGCCAGCAGCCGCGGUAAUACGAAGGGGGCGAGCGUUGUUCGGAUUUACUGGGCGUAAAGGGCGCGUAGGCGGCGUGGGAAGUCAGGCGUGAAAGCCCCGGGCUCAACCUGGGAACUGCGCUUGGGACUCUCAGGCUGGAGUUCGGGAGAGGAGCGUGGAAUUCCCAGUGUAGAGGUGAAAUUCGUAGAUAUUGGGAAGAACACCGGUGGCGAAGGCGGCGCUCUGGACCGAGACUGACGCUGAGGCGCGAAAGCGUGGGGA
rnacentral:rRNA from 1 species